UUUUUGUUAAAAUUGGAUUUUGAAAAUCUAAAUUGGAAGUAAUCUUCCACAAAAAA
rnacentral:tRNA from 1 species